GGUUUGGCCGGGGUAGACAAUAAUUGUAAAUAAGAAUUUGUUCCUAACUUACUUGCCUAGUUAAAUUAAAUAACAAUGCGCAAUAAUUGUCGGGAGAAAGUUUAGUGGAUUCUGGAGAGAGACGCGCCUAUAAACUAUCUUUCGCCUCACAUCUUCUUGUCUCAACAUUUUAAAUUAGACUCGAGACACAUUAUCUUCACACAUAUUUCAGAUGCUUUUCACUAACAGCAGCAACUCAAUAAUCAGCUAGGUCUGGUGUGUGUGCUCGCGCACGUUAGGCUACGUUAUAUGAGCUAACUUGUAGCUUGUUAGUCGCGCAUCUCGCCCCGUUACAGUGGGACGUUUUCUGACCAAGAGAAGAGUGCGGGUAGAAAUUUAAAAUAAGAGAAGAGUGCGGGUAGAAAUUGAAAAUCCAUUUUAAAAAAUCCAGUCUCCGAGGGGGCCAAAGAAGAAGAGGGAGAUAAGAAAAAUGAGUCGGAGAGAGAAACUCGUGAGCCACGACGUGAGGGAGCACCAGAGCAGUUCGUCGCUGCUAGCUGCUCCACAGCCAUCGUUAGCUGCACUGUUAGCACAGCCACCCUCUGAUUUAAACCAGUCACCUGUUGAAGAACCAAGGCGCCCUCUUCUUCGGCGUUUUCCAGCCACAAAAGUUGGACAGCAGGAUCGCUACUCCAAUCGUAGAUGGUAUGAGGAUUACAAAUGGCUGAAAUAUUAUAUUUCAAAGGACCAUGCUUUCUGCUUUGCAUGCCGCCACUUUCAACGUCCAGGAAACCAUGGUGGAAAGAAAGCGACAUUUGCCCACGAUGGCUACCAGAACUGGAAGAAGGCGACACGUUCGUUCAAGACACACAAUGCUAGCGUGGAACAUACAUAUGCAAUGACAGCGUGGAAUGUGAGUGGACGAUUCAGAAAGAGUCUGGCUCAACAAUAUGCAAUGCUCUAAGUGAUGAACAUUCGAAAAUAGUCCGAGACAACAGAGAGUAUAUGAGAGCAGUUGUGGAGUCAUUGCGUUUCACUGCAUACCAGGGACUUUCACAGAGAGGAGACAUAGAAAACGACAUGGCUGUCAACCCAGGGAAACUUCCUUGAACUUUUACAGGUCAUAGGAAAAUUCGACAAAACAGUUGCACAGAAAAUAUCAGAUAAUCCUAGAAAUGUUAAGUACACGCAUCAUGAUAUACAGAAUGAAAUACUAGUCAUGGCAAAUAAGAUUAGGGAUCAGAUAAGUGGUGAAAUACAAGAUGCUAAACUAUUUGCAUUGAUGGUAGAUGAGAGUAAGGACCUCAGGAAUUUCUUUCAUUUCACUCCAACUGAUGGAUUAGAUGCCGAGUCGCUUUUCGCUACGAUCAAAGAGACUCUUAGUAAAUGUAACACUGAUCACACUGCAUGACGGCGCCGUCCCUCGGGCAAUCUACAUUCAUUGCCACGCACACCGUCUCAAUCUUGUUUUGGUGGACUGUGUCAGAAACGUGAAGCCAGCGGGGGAUUUUGUUGUCACACAUAUCUGUCACACUGUCAGUAACCUCCGCGUCAUGUGAGCGCAGUUUUUCCUGCAUGCGGCGUGUAAAAACCUACCUGAGAAACAGAAUGGCAAACCCUCGACUCAGCAACCUUGCCUGCCUGUCCAUACACGCAGAAAGAACCAAAGCCCAGGAUGUCCAGAAAAUGAUAGGCUCAUUUGCACUGAACCACAACAACAGACGCAUCGUCUUUCUAAAAAAACAACACUUGAGCGCACCUGUCCGGUGGCGGGAACAUGAUUCAAUCGCGCUGAUCUGGAUGGAACAAGAAGACGCAUGCAUAUUGUCGGCCAGUCGGCCUACAAGUAUUUUUGCAAUAGAAAUAUAAUAACUAAGAUUGUGAUUAUAGCCAGUUCGUUUUACAAGUGUGUGCACAGUUAACAGGCAUAGGCUAAAUGCAUUUCACUUGUCGUUGUGGCUGCACUUUGGAUAUUAUUAAUUUCAUUUCUGACGUUGUGAUAGCCAUUUCAUCCGAAACAUUAUUACCAAUGCACAGUUGUCUGAUUAUGCAUAUGGAAUAAAUGCACUUCUUGUUGUUGUCGCA